rnacentral:lncRNA from 1 species
UGCUGCUGUCCAAUAUUGUUUUAGUGCAAAUUGUUUAUUACCAAUUUUCCCUUAAGCUUUAAUAAAUAACAAUUUCGUCCCUACUCAAUUAGCCUCUCAAUUGAGCUGAUUUUUCUUAAUUAACACUUUAUUCUAUCACUUUAAACUACUUUACAACUUUUGGAAAUCAUAAUUUCAGCACUAGACUUUAAUUCCAACAUUUUCACAAUUCUGUCCUAAAAUCAAUUUCCAUUAAUUUUACUAAUUUAAUUCAUACUCUAUUUCUAUUCAAGUUCCAUCCCAACUCAAAUUUAACUACUAAAUUUUCAGCUUAUUUAACUAGUUUCAAAAUUUCCUCAAAUUAGCCCUUCAACAUAAAACUUAUGAAUUACUUUACAAUUCAAUCCUUAUUUCAUUUCUAACUUGAAUUUCUAUCAAUUUAACCCUUAUUUUAUCAUUUUACUCAACAUGAACAGUAUCUAAAAAUCUAAUAUCUUUCAAAAUAUCAACUUAAUUUCAUCAAAAUCAUGUCCAAAGCUUCUAAAAUAUCAAAAUUAAGUAAAAAGGGCUCAAUUGACUUACCUAUUAAACUUCCAAACUUCAGACCUUUGAUUUUCCCUUUUCUUCUUUCUUUCCUUCCCCUGCUUUCUGUUUUGUUUGCUUUGUUUCUUUAUUUCUCUCCUUUUUUUUCUUUUUUCUUUUUUUUAUAUAUACACACAUGUAUUUAUACUUGAAUAAUAAGUAUUAUUUAUUUAUUCAUGUGUAUAUUAUUAGUACAUUUGUAUCCAUUUAUAACCAUACAUUUGUCAUUAUUUAAUAUAUUUAUCAUAUAAAAUCUUAUAAUAUAAUUAUUUAAUUAAUAAAUAUCUAUUUAAUAUCUAAUACAUGUAUUACAAAUGUAUGUAUUUUU